GGUGAUGACUCUGUCUACGCCGAGGAAGUGAGCGGAGCGCAUCACAGCCCCAAGAUUGCGGGGAUCCUGGAGCCCCUCAAGGACGAGCCACAGCUGCUGAGGGUCGUCGCCUGAGCUCGUGUCUGCCGCCUCAUCGCAAGGCCGGGGUCGCAGCGGGCUCACCUCCAUGCACACGCCCUGGUGCACUUGGUAGCCGCACAAGGCAUCCAGUUUCUGACGCCUGGGCCUCAAGACAGGGAUGCCCCGAGCCUCGGCCACCCGGAGCAGCUCGGCUCGCUCCCCCUGCAGCCCAGCCUUACCGGCCUGGAGCAGGAGCCGGGCCACGCGCCGACGGGCAGCCCGCAAGGCCAGGAGGCAUGGGGACAAGCCAAAUAGACGUUCCAGCCGCUGGGCCGGCGCCAGGUCAUCCAGAAGCAAGCGACUCAGCUCCUCCCCGCCAGGCCGUUCCCCGCGCCGAGCCACCGAGGAGAAAUGGCGGGCAAUCAGGCGACUGAAGCACCCGACCGUCCAGAGUCGCCGCAUUGCUCCAGCAGCGCCCGAGACUCCACUGACAGACAGCUGGGGAGGACCCGUUGACCUCCCACACUUCGUCCCCUCACAAGGACUGCCCACAACCUGACCCUCGAGCCAAGACAGUCACCUCCCAGCCUCCCACGUGGGUCCCCAGCUUCCGGGUUCUGGAGGCCCAGCCCCCUGUCCGAUGACGCACAUGUGCGCUUGGCGGCAACCACGUCUCCACUGCACCCCCUACAGGAGUGAGUCGCACUGCCUCCGCUGACGCAGGCGAGCCUAGAGGCUGUGCUGGUGCUGAGCUAACCUUGGACUGCUCCCGGGUGAAGGAAGAAGUUAGAAGGCGUUCACCUGCUCGUCCUCAAAGACCACCGCAUGUCAGUGGUUUGGCCAUCUGUUCAAUCCUCAGUCUUGGAGCCAUCCUACAUCCUGGCACAAUGUCAUAGUUGGGACUUUCUCCCAGAAGCAUAUCCUGUCAGACCCUCAGCACCAGCCAGCAGAACCCCUAGAAUAUUUCCCAUCUCCCGAAAGCCCCAACGAGCCUACGGUAUUUCUGCUGACAAGCAGCCGAUGCCCUUGGCCCAUGGUAAUUCUACGACUUCCUUGCUCACUGCCCAGACUGGCUCUUUUCAGCCUAGUCUUUUAAAAUAUCUUUUUAAACCUUUUCCCUUUUCCUAAUGAUUCCUUUUUUUUUUUAAUGUGCAUUGUUGUUUUGCCUGCAUGUACAUCUAUGAAGGUGUUGGAUCCCCAAGAACUGAAGUUACAGUUGUGGGUGCUGGGAAUUGUACCAGGGUUCUCUGGAAGAGCAGCCAGUGCUCUUAACAUUUGAGCCAUUUCUCCAGCCCCCACCCCCUCUUUUUUAAAAUCAAUGUCUCACUAAGCAGCCCUCAUGGAUGGCCUGAAACUCGUUGUGUAGCCCAGGCUGGCCUCAAAUCCACAGAGGUCUCCCUGCUUCUGCUUCUCAAAUGUUGGGAUUAAAGGUGUGCAAUAGUAUUAGUA
rnacentral:lncRNA from 1 species